UGGGGAAUAUUGCACAAUGGGGGAAACCCUGAUGCAGCGACGCCGCGUGAGCGAAGAAGGUUUUCGAAUCGUAAAGCUCUGUCCUAUGAGAAGAUAAUGACGGUAUCAUAGGAGGAAGCCCCGGCUAAAUACGUGCCAGCAGCCGCGGUAAUACGUAUGGGGCGAGCGUUGUCCGGAAUUAUUGGGCGUAAAGGGUACGUAGGCGGUCUAUUUAGUCAGGUGUGAAAGCGUGAGGCUUAACCUCAUUAAGCACUUGAAACUGAUAGACUUGAGUGAAGGAGAGGAAAGUGGAAUUCCUAGUGUAGCGGUGAAAUGCGUAGAUAUUAGGAGGAAUACCGGUGGCGAAGGCGACUUUCUGGACUUUUACUGACGCUCAGGUACGAAAGCGUGGGGAGCAAACAGG
rnacentral:rRNA from 1 species